rnacentral:rRNA from 1 species
GAUGAACGCUGGCGGCGUGCCUAAUACAUGCAAGUCGAGCGAACGGACGAGAAGCUUGCUUCUCUGAUGUUAGCGGCGGACGGGUGAGUAACACGUGGAUAACCUACCUAUAAGACUGGGAUAACUUCGGGAAACCGGAGCUAAUACCGGAUAAUAUUUUGAACCGCAUGGUUCAAAAGUGAAAGACGGUCUUGCUGUCACUUAUAGAUGGAUCCGCGCUGCAUUAGCUAGUUGGUAAGGUAACGGCUUACCAAGGCAACGAUGCAUAGCCGACCUGAGAGGGUGAUCAGCCACACUGGAACUGAGACACGGUCCAGACUCCUACGGGAGGCAGCAGUAGGGAAUCUUCCGCAAUGGGCGAAAGCCUGACGGAGCAACGCCGCGUGAGUGAUGAAGGCCUUCGGAUCGUAAAACUCUAUUAUUAGGGAAGAACAUAUGUGUAAGUAACUGUGCACAUCUUGACGGUACCUAAUCAGAAAGCCACGGCUAACUACGUG